rnacentral:pre_miRNA from 1 species
CAAUGCUGGAGUCUGAAGAGGAAGUUUUCUGGGGCACCUCCACCAUGACCUGGACUCUGCUUCUGCUUAUCCUCCUCAAUCAGGGUAAAAGUGU